AGUCGCAAACGUUUUCAUUUCUACCCUCAUUGAGCUCCAGGGAUGUUUAGCUGGUGGUGGCAUUGGCGGCUGUGGCGGAGGCGUGAAGGGCGGCUCGUCUCGGCCAAACAGUAAGCCUGUCUGGUGGCGGCGGGCGGAGAGAGCGGCGCCGCGUCAGGGAGAGGGAAAAAAACAGCUCUCCGUGCAAAGUUUCCAUCAGAGCUGACGGGUGAUCCAGCAGCCUAUACAUACAUGAUCAGUCGAGGGGAAAGGCGGCUGUCGGGUGGGGAAGCAGAGGCGGCGGAGGCAGGGAGUAUAAAUGCAAGGAAAGACCUCCCAGCACCGUGAUCUCGAUCCUCGUCAUCCUGCACCAGCGUAUCUGAACCUCUUCCGAGUCCCAAGUAGUCAAGCAGUCUACGGUAUCUAAUGUAUCAUGCUCUACUUGAACGAAUCCUCUUCCCAGCAUCCACUAAAACCUACAUCCUAUCAAAGGCAACAGGCGGUAAACAGGUCAGCCGGGAGCACGUGUCUGACCUGACCAGAGGCGGCGGCUGACAGGAGCCCCGCAAACACCUCGACGUUGCCUGCCUGACCGAGCAAGGCAAGGUCAGACAGCUGCCAACCCUCCGCUAAGUACACGUCGUCUAGGGGGAAGCUUUUAGAAUCUCAAGUGUGACGUGUUGGUGCCGGCGAAGCAAGAAGACCCGUCGCGUGGUGUUCCUUAAGAGUUCGUGAGCAGCGAUGGUCCGUCCGGCAAAAAGAAUAACUGCAAAAUUACCACGACUUAAUAUGGUGUGUAGGAAUAUGUUAGUUGUGUGAGAUAGAUAGAUAGAUAGAUAGAUAGAUAGGGAUACAUACGACUGGUUUAUUAGAUAUCGUAUUAGUCUUUAGUAACAAUAAUGUGGCUGAUAAUUCGUCUUUUUUAUACCCGUGACGUGCUUAGUUGUUUCUGUCGAUAUUUUUACAUCAUUGUUUACGACUGAGUGUGUGUGUAAUAUGUCGACUCAACUCUGUGAAAAUUCAACACUUCUAAAUAACUCUGUCUCAAAAAUGGUAUAUAAAAACCAAACUAGCCGCCACAUAGCCGUUAACAAAUGCAUAUGAAACGUUUGAAGAACCUGGCGGUAGAGACAUAUACAUACAGACAGACAGACCAAGGGCAGACAGACAUACAGACAGGGAGACAGACAAAAGGACAGGGAGAUGAUAAGGAUGAGGAGCAGGGAGGAGGGAGGGGGGGGGGGAGAUGAGAUGGGAAGCCUGUUUAAUCCCAGUUCCUUACGUGUGUCAGCCGCUACCACCUGUGUUAGGCUUGUACGACCCUCCUGCAGCCACACUGACGCCAGGGGGGGGGAUAAUGGGACGGACAGCCUCAAGUCUUCCCGUCCGAGUCAUUACCUGAGACACAUUAGGCCCAAGGGUUAUGGUACAGUUUUAUUGACUUAAUUGGAUUGCCCCUUCUUUCCCCUCUCUGUCUCUCUCUCUCUCUUUCUCAGGGUGGUUGGCAGACGCGGCCUUCAUGUGUGGUUAUGCUCGUAAUCUGGAGUUAAGUGCGGAUUGAAGUUGUCAGGGGUGGCGAUGAUGAUGAUGAUAGUGAUGGUGUAUUAUACUGAGUAGCAUAAAUGAGGAUGAUGAAGAUGAUGGUGCUGGUGGUAAGAAAGGUGAUAAUGAUGAUGAUGAUAGUAAUGAUUAAAAUGAUGAUGCUGUUGGUGGUGAUGAUGAAGAUGGAAGUAGUGAUGAUAGCGAUAAUGAUAACACAGAAAGACACACGAACAUCAACAUCAAGAAGAAGAAGAAGAAAAAAAAGAAAAAGAAGAAGAAGAACAAGAACAAGAACAAGAACAAGAACAACAACAACAACAACAACAGCAACAGCAGACAUCCCAUUGUUCGCAAAGCUCCGGGCAAAAAAAAAGAAAUUCUGUUUAUUUUCCAGCGCAGCGCCGCACAAUGAAUGCCCUACAGGAAAAUGUUUAAAGGUCGUAGUCAGUUCACCUGCCUAUCUCUUUUUAAUCGCUACGGUAUAUAUAUAACUCACCCACUCACUCGCCUUACUGCAUGCACUACAUCCCACGCAGUUUGAAGAUACCUAUAGAACUAUUUUUUACCAUUCCAUUUUUGGCAUGCUUUUUUUUAUGUAAGAGCAGCAGAUAGAUUUUAUUUUUUUAUUUAUCUGUUGGUCUGUUUCAUUUACCGCAAAACAAGAAGAAGAAGAAGAAGAAGAAGAAGAAAAAGAACAACAACAACAACAACAGCAACGAUAACAACAACAACCACGAACAGACUUUCACAAGGUGCUACUUUAUCCCAUAUUCUUCCUUCAGUCACCUGGUCUUUACGCCGAUCUCCGUGACCUUUAAUAAAGUCAAAUUUAGGUAUACAGGCCA